rnacentral:rRNA from 1 species
UACCAAGGCUACGACGUUUAGGGGAGCUGAGAGGCUGACCCCCACCGAUGGGACUGAGACACGGCCCAUACUCCUACGGGAGGCCGCAGUCGAGAAUCUUCCGCAAUGGACGCAAGUCUGACGGAGCGAUACAGCGUGGUAGAUGAAGUGCUUCGGCACGUAAAUACCUUUUAUGAGGGACGAAAUUAUUGACGGUACCUCAUGAAUAAGGGGCUCCUAACUCUGUGCCAGCAGGAGCGGUAAUACAGAGGCCCCAAGCAUUAUCCGGAAUCACUGGGCGUAAAGGGUGUCAAGGCGGUCAUAUUAGUCUUCCGUUAAAUCCAGGAGCUCAACUUCUGGCCCGCGGGAGAAACGGUAUGACCAGAGGUUGGAAGAGGUGCGUGGAACUCACGGUGUAGGGGUGAAAUCCGUUGAUAUCGUGGGGAACACCAAAGGCGAAGGCAGCGCACUGGUCCAAAUCUGACGCUCACACACGAAAGCCAGGGUAGCGAAUGGGAUUAGAUACCCCAGUAGUCCUGGCCCUAAACGUUGCUCGCUCGUUUUACGGAGAAUCGACCCUCUGUGAGACUAAGCUAACGCGGUAAGCGAGCCGCCUGGGUAGUACGAUCGCAAGGUUAAAACUCAAAGGAAUUGACGG